GCUACUGCUAUCGGGGUUCGAUUAAGCCAUGCGAGUUAAAUGUUCUUCGUGAACAUAGCGAACUGCUCAGUAACACGUGGAUAACCUACCCUUAGGACCGGAAUAACCCCGGGAAACUGGGGAUAAUACCGGAUAAGCCAUAGGCGCUGGAAUGCCCUAUGGUUCAAAGCUCCGGCGCCUAAGGAUGGAUCUGCGGUCUAUCAGGUUGUAGUGGGUGUAACGUACCUACUAGCCGACGACGGAUACGGGUUGUGAGAGCAAGAGCCCGGAGAUGGAUUCUGAGACACGAAUCCAGGCCCUACGGGGUGCAGCAGGCGCGAACACUUUACAAUGCGGGAAACCGCGAUAAGGGAACCCCGAGUGCCAGCAUCAAAUGUUGGCUGUCCAGAUGAUUAAAAAUCAUUUGUUAGCAAGGGCCGGGCAAGACCGGUGCCAGCCGCCGCGGUAACACCGGCGGCCCGAGUGGUAGCCGUUUUUAUUGGGUCUAAAGGGUCCGUAGCCGGCCUGAUAAGUCCUUUGGGAAAUCUGGCAGCUUAACUGUCAGGCUUCUAAGGGAUACUGUCAGGCUUGGGACCGGAAGAGGUAAGGGGUACUCCAGGGGUAGGAGUGAAAUCUUGUAAUCCCUGGGGGACCAUCUGUGGCGAAGGCGCCUUACCAGAACGGGUCCGACGGUGAGGGACGAAAGCUAGGGGAGCAAACCGGAUUAGAUACCCGGGUAGUCCUAGCUGUAAACGAUGCUCGCUAGGUGUCAGACACGGUGCGACCGUGUUUGGUGCCGCAGGGAAGCCGUUAAGCGAGCCACCUGGGAAGUACGGUCGCAAGGCUGUAACUUAAAGGAAUUGGCGGGGGAGCACUACAACGGGUGGAGCCUGCGGUUUAAUUGGAUUCAACGCC
rnacentral:rRNA from 1 species